rnacentral:rRNA from 1 species
UACGUAGGGUGCAAGCGUUGUCCGGAAUUAUUGGGCGUAAAGAGCUCGUAGGCGGUCUGUCGCGUCGGCUGUGAAAACUCGGGGCUCAACCCCGAGCCUGCAGUCGAUACGGGCAGACUAGAGUCCGGCAGGGGAGACUGGAAUUCCUGGUGUAGCGGUGAAAUGCGCAGAUAUCAGGAGGAACACCGGUGGCGAAGGCGGGUCUCUGGGCAUCUCCUGACGCUGAGGCGCGAAAGCGUGGGGAGCAAACGGG